rnacentral:rRNA from 1 species
AGUGAACGCUGGCGGUAGGCCUAACACAUGCAAGUCGAACGGCAGCACAGUAAGAGCUUGCUCUUACGGGUGGCGAGUGGCGGACGGGUGAGGAAUACAUCGGAAUCUACUUUUUCGUGGGGGAUAACGUAGGGAAACUUACGCUAAUACCGCAUACGACCUACGGGUGAAAGCAGGGGAUCUUCGGACCUUGCGCGAUUGAAUGAGCCGAUGUCGGAUUAGCUAGUUGGCGGGGUAAAGGCCCACCAAGGCGACGAUCCGUAGCUGGUCUGAGAGGAUGAUAAGCCACACUGGAACUGAGACACGGUCCAGACUCCUAAGGGAGGCAGCAGUGGGGAAUAUUGGACAAUGGGCGCAAGCCUGAUCCAGCCAGACCGCGUGGGUGAAGAAGGCCUUCGGGUUGUAAAGACCUUUUGUUGGGAAAGAAAAGCAGCAGGUUAAUACCCCGCUGUUCUGACGGUACCCAAAGAAUAAGCACCGGCUAACUUCGUG